GCCGGGGUAGCCAAGCGGUCCAAGGCGCCAGCCUGGAGAGCUGGUGGGCGUUUGCCCUCGUGGGUUCGAAUCCCACCCCCGGCG
rnacentral:tRNA from 1 species